GACUGAUCUUCCUUCAACACAAGAAAUUAGACAACUAAAUGAAAUUAAGGAGGCACUGCAUAAUGAUAUUUUGGAAAAUAAACAUCUCACCAAUAUCGCCAAGUCAAUAAUAUCAUUAAUAUUAAAUCGUGAUCCCAACAGAGAGAUAGCACAGUGGGGCAGAAUCAAAA